CGCGGAGUGGAGCAGUUGGCAGCUCGUCGGGCUCAUAACCCGAAGGUCGUAGGUUCAAGUCCUGCCUCCGCAA
rfam:Clostridium difficile 630 complete genome